GGCACGGUGACCAAGUGGUAAGGCGUCUGUCUCGUAAACAGAAAAUCGAGGGUUCGAACCCCUCUCGUGCCU
rnacentral:tRNA from 1 species